rnacentral:rRNA from 1 species
UACGUAGGGAGCAAGCGUUGUCCGGAAUCAUUGGGCGUAAAGCGCGCGUAGGUGGCCAUGUAAGUCCGCUGUGAAAGUCAAAGGCUCAACCUUUGAAAGCCGGUGGAUACUGCAUGGCUAGAGUACGGAAGAGGCGAGUGGAAUUCCUGGUGUAGCGGUGAAAUGCGCAGAUAUCAGGAAGAACACCCGUGGCGAAGGCGGCUCUCUGGGACGGUACUGACGCUGAGACGCGAAAGCGUGGGGAGCGAACAGG